UUGCUGGUGGUCCAGUGGUUAGGACUUGGCACUUUCAUUGCUGUGGCCUGGGUUCAAUCCCUGAUCGGGGAA
rnacentral:tRNA from 1 species